UACGUAGGGCGCAAGCGUUAUCCGGAAUUAUUGGGCGUAAAGAGCUCGUAGGCGGUUUGUCGCGUCUGCCGUGAAAGUCCGGGGCUCAACUCCGGAUCUGCGGUGGGUACGGGCAGACUAGAGUGAUGUAGGGGGAGACUGGAAUUCCCUGGUGUAGCGGUGAAAUGCGCAGAUAUCAGGAGGAACACCGAUGGCGAAGGCAGGUCUCUGGGCAUUAACUGACGCUGAGGAGCGGAAAGCAUGGGGAGCGAACAGG
rnacentral:rRNA from 1 species